AUUGAACGCUGGCGGCAGGCCUAACACAUGCAAGUCGAACGAGUGGCGGACGGGUGAGUAAUGUCUGGGAAACUGCCCGAUGGAGGGGGAUAACUACUGGAAACGGUAGCUAAUACCGCAUACCAUCGGAUGUGCCCAGAUGGGAUUAGCUAGUAGGUGGGGUAACGGCUCACCACGGCGACGAUCCCUAGCGGGUCUGAGAGGAUGACCAGACAAACUGGAACUGAGACACGGUCCAGACUCCUACGGGAGGCAGCAGUGGGGAAUAUUGCACAAUGGGCGCAAGCCUGAUGCAUCCAUGCCGCGGGUAUGAAGAAGGCCUUCGGGUUGUAAAGUACUUUCAGCGAGGAGGCGUUACUCGCAGAAGAAGCACCGGCUAACUCCGUGCCAGCAGCCGCGGUAAUAC
rnacentral:rRNA from 1 species